CGGAGGGUGCGAGCGUUGUCCGGAAUCUACGUGGGACGUAAAGGCUCGUAGGCGGUUUGUCGCGUCUGCCGUGAAAGUCCGGGGCUUAACUCCGGAUCUGCGGUGGGUACGGGCAGACUAGAGUGCAGUAGGGGAGACUGGAAUUCCUGGUGUAGCGGUGAAAUGCGCAGAUAUCAGGAGGAACACCGAUGGCGAAGGCAGGUCUCUGGGCUGUAACUGACGCUGAGGAGCGAAAGCAUGGGGAGCGAACAGGAUU
rnacentral:rRNA from 1 species